rnacentral:lncRNA from 1 species
UACGGGGGGACCUAAAUCGUGACUUGAUUUUCCCUUUGAUUAGAAGGCAAAACUAGCGUGCUAAGGCUAUCGAGUAGCCACACUCGCUCGUUUCCCUUAUCGAAAGGGGACACUCAAGCAAAAAUGAACCCUAUUGCUAGUAUGGGGUGCAAAAAUCCUAAAAUGAGGGGAAAGGGGAAUCGAGGAGCAUGCCAGAUGAUAAAACUAAGGAAAAAUGCAUGAUAUGUAGUGAACAGGCAAAUAAUGCAUUAAUGAAAAACAAAGGAAAAAUCCUAUUGGGUCUAGCGUUGGACUAGCCCUUUCUAUGAAUUCCUAAUGAAAUGAUGAGCCACAACCAGCAUUGGACUAGUGUGGUGACGUACAUUCAUCCAUCACAUUCAUUCAUGCUAUAAAAAGCGAGUAGACAUGCCAAACACGUAUAAGCACAUAGCACGUAGCACUUAGCAUGCUCGACUAGAUGCAAGAGCCUACUAAAGCAAUUUAACAUGUAACAACAAAAGCAAGCAACCAAGGGGAAGGGGAAAUGGACCAGAUGCUCUACGAGCCCUAGCUAUUACAAGCCAAGAGGUGUACACAUACCCCAUGAAAGCAUAAAGGGGAAGGGGAAAUGGACCAGAUGCUCUCCGAGCCCUAUCUAUUACAAGCCAAGAGGUGUAUACAUACCCCAUGAAAGCAUAAGGGGGAAGGGGAAAUGGACCAGAUGCUCUCCGAGCCCUAUCUAUUACAAGCCAAGAGGUGUACACAUACCCCAUAAAACUCAAAUAAAAGUAAAAGCAAGCAAAUGCACGCAAGGAGGUAAGGAAAGCGGAGUAGGCAUGCAUAUUCACAUAACACGUAGGAGCACGUAGGGUCAAUGAAGUGCAAAUGAGGGAUAGAGUGUACCUCCCUUGAAGCGACGCCCUAACGUAGUGAAAUUACUAACUUACCCUCCAAAAUAAUAAAAAGGUCAAGGUACCACUUAAAUUAUCAAACAAUCACAUGAAACAAAAAUUAAAUAUAAAAAAAUGAAAGUUAAACACUAAAUUGAGUCAAUUAAAGUGUUUACAUAGACAAACCAACUAUGUACAAAGCAAUUAAUGCAAGAGGGACUUAAUUAAAAGGACUGAAAAUUUCUGAAAGAGAGUAAAAUAAACUACCCAAAGUUGAUGACUUAAGAUGAGACCCAUUAAAAUCAAAGGCAAAAAUGUGAUUAGAACACAAAUCCAAGCUAAAAAAAAUUCUAUUAAAAUUUAUUGAAUCUCAAAAUGCAUCCUAAAACUCACUAAACGUCUUACCCAAAAUCAUGUCAAAGCAUACCAAAAGCAAUUAAGAUUCUAGAAUGAUAAAAUUGAUUAAAUUAUUCAACUAAUUGGACCAUAACAAGACAAAGGGGGAAUUUAGGGGGUCAAAAUGCAAGUGUUUUAGGACCUAAUUGUAAGAACAUGGAAUGUAAUUGGGCCAUAGUGAGUCAAUGGGGAACUUGGGGGAUUAAAGGAUAAUUUUUAUUAAAAGAUGUUUACAUGCAUGCAUACGUAGGAAGCAAAUUUUCUGCCAUGAACACAAAUAAAGGAAUUGCUGCAGCAUUGUAUAACUUCAUCAAUCUCCUUUCUUACAACCAUUUUCAUGCCAACUCCUUAUUCAAAUUCAACUCAUUCAUGCCAACACAACAAGAAGAAACAUGCUGGAGUUACUAUCUAACAAAAACAGCAAAAGUUUGGAACCGCAAAUGGAAGAACAUAGCAAGACACAACCGUAAAUUUCUGGUGCAGCAAAAUGAAUAUGCAUUUUCCAGCAAGCACUUUGGCAUGAUUCAAAUGUUUUUUUUAUUUCGUAAACCCAAAACCAUAAACUCAGCACUAAGCUCUCCAGCUCGUCUCUUCAACACAAAAUUAAACAUGCAACCCAAGUGCAAACUCAGAGAGCAACCAUGGACAGAAACAAAAAAAACGCAGCAACUUUUGCUUCCUUCAUUUCAGCUUAGAUAUAUUUGCAUACAAAUGUUCAAACAAGCUCUACCAAAUAUGACAUCUAAAAAUAAAUGCAAGGAAUUCACCCCCCCGAUUACCAUCAAAUACCACCCAAGCAUAAACUGCCUUGAAGAUUCAAACAAAGCCAAAGGACAAAAAAAAAAUGCAGCAAAGAAAGCAUAAAACUCGGCAAAUUUCCAUUCCUGUAAUUCUUGUGUUCAUUUUAAUGCAACUUUCCAUCCCAAACACGGCUAAAAUCUCAACCAAACAGAACAAUAAUGUCAACCGAACACUAAAGAUAACAUAACAUGCAAAACCAAAACUUGAACAAAAGAAAAGAAAGAAAAUCAUGACUGCCGCAGGCCUUCGGCUUCUUGAGGCAGUCUAAUAGUACACCACACCUUGCUACUCGAAGUGGCAGCAAGCACACACACGGGACACCAUAAAACAACAAACAAAACCCCAUAGGUAAUUUAGGCCAUUCUGGAAAACCCUCUCCGCCUAAAAGAUUGAUUUUUCCCUCAAAAAACUGCUGCUAUAAAAACAGAAUUUCGAACCUGUUGCAGCAAUCUUUCAUACGCAACCAGAACCAAACUAAGACUCAAACAAAGCCUCAUGGAUUUAUUGUUUAACCAUCACAGAAAAUCCUUAACCCCUGUUCUUAAACAUACUCAUCUUUUAGACUCCUACUGCAUCUUAUCUUAGCAAAUGAGCAACAUGGCAGAGUCAAAAACAUCGAAAAUUUGAACCAGCAUCCACUCAAGAAACCAGAGACAACAUAGGUUUGUUGCUGGCUAAGAGAAAACAGAGAUAACUCCUAUGCAAACAGUCUUGGGAAUGCACGCUAAUGCAGAGCCUAGAUGCUACCACAUGAUACCCAUAUUGGAGUCAAUCAGCGCAUGAAAAUAAAAUAAAAAUAACCGCAAGACUGAGAACAAAAAAUCAAAUAGCCCAGGUCUUGAUUACAGAGGGGGUGUGCAGGCGGAAGAGGAUAAGCAAGUUGUUACCUUGGGAGCCCUAACAACUGCUGUGUAAAACGCUUGAGCUUGAAGCGAUUGAACUCCUCGAAACUGCUAUGACCUUGAUGAGGCACUUGUCGGCGAAAGUUUUGGAUGUUCUCGAUCUUCUCCGCUUGCCCGAAACCCAGCUCCUCUAUUUCCUUCCUUUGUUUUUCUUAAGUUUUGCAGCCGUCACUUGAUGCCCAUUCUCUCUAAUUUCUGUCUUCCCCCCUUUCUCCAAAACUCUCCUUCCUUCUCCCACCUUUUGCCGUCUGUUUUUCUCUCCUUUCUCUCCUCUCUCCCCGUUAGCUUUCCCUAUAGCCGUUCCCUUUGGUUCCAGAUUUCCUCCUACACUAGCUCUCUGUGCUUUUGUUUUUGCCUUCAGACCCCCUUCUCCCCAAAACCCUUGCUCAGAUUUUCUUUCGGCCUGUCAAUGCUCUCCAAAAAAUUCCCUCUUGCGGCUGAUGUUUUCUUUCUGCUUUUAUAUGGAACUCCAAGGCCCUUAAACCCUCCACUGAAUGGUCAAGAUGAAGGCCAGCCUCUGCCUUCAUCCUGCCCUUCAAUGGCACGUACGAAGUUAGCCCUUUGCAAGUUGCCAAAAAUGCAGCUUGCAGGCCACGAUCCUCUUUUUUUUUUUUUUUUUUUUUUUUUUUCAAGAAAACUAAUACAACUUGAUAAUUACAGAAAUGACAAAAUAAAUAAUAACAAAAUUACACAAACCAGGUAAUAAUAAUUAUAACAAAACAACAAUAAUUUUAAACAAAACACUAAACAAAAAUGGCCAUUUUUAAUUUUCAAAUUUUCUCUUUUCAUCAUUUUCUUUUUCUCAAAAUAACUUAAUAAAAAUAACUAAAGUGCCCAAAGAUUGAAUUUAAAGAAGUAAACAUAUUUUUGUGAACAAUUUUUCCUUUUUCUUUUUCCUCUUCUCUCUCUCUUUUUUUUUAUUUUUCCAAUCCAUCUAAAACCUAUUUUUUUUUUGAAUUUUUCUUCUUUUCCUCUUUUUCUUUAAUUUCUUUUUUCUCCUUUUUUAUGAUUUUGCAUUUUCAUUUUUCUUUCAAGAAAGCAUUGAAUAAAAACAAAAUGACUAAAAUGAUUUUUCUUUUCUUUCUAAAAACUCUAUAAACUUAAAAACUAAAAAAAAACUAAAAACUAAAACUGAAAUUUAAAACUUAAAAGUGAUUAAAAACCUAAAAUGACAAAAAUAAAAAUAAAAAUGAAUAGACAAACUAAAAGGGCAAAAUGAAUAAAACUAAAAUAAAAUAACAACUAGAAAUGCAAAACACACAACAAUGAACUAAAUGCAAGCGAUCUAAAAUAAAAUCAUGAAGUAGAUACCGCAUACAAAUUAAGACACACAUCGUUGUUAGAGAAAUUUCAACUACAACUACAGAAAAUGACUUUGACAUGAAGAUUCACUUUCCUUAAGGAAAUUUACCCGAACUAUUCUACUACCUGGUUUGCAGUAAUUCCCUCUAAAAAUAACAAAGCCAACCAAAAUUUUCACACAGUAGUAUAAAGAAAUUCUCCCAAGAACGGUUUAGAGAAUUAUUGUUUUGAUAAAAAAUAGAAGAAUAAUAAAUCUAAAAGUAAAAAGUCAAUUGUCUUGAUAUCUAACCAUCCUUAUUUAUAAUGUUCGGACACCCCAAAAGAAAUAUCAUGUCUUUCGGAAACAUACUUCUUCCUGAAUAGACAUCUUUUAAAUGAAUAGACACAAUUCAAAUGACUAGACACUUCCUUAAGAGUUGUACUACUUUACGCUAGACACAACUUUUAGAACAUCCCAAAUAUCAUGACACUUAAAUUGGUGUGCAAACCUUUCCAUUCUCCUCUAACUUUCAAUGAAGAGUCAUCAUGUGAAGAUUCACUUUUUUUAAGGAAAUUUGCCCCCACUAUUCUACUAUCGGGUUUGCGGCAAUUGUCUCCAAAAAUAACAAAGCCAACCAGAAUUUUCACACAGUAGUAUGAAGAAAUUCUCCCAAGAACGGUUUAAAGAAUUAUUGUUUUGAAAAUAAGUAAAAAAAUAGUAAAACUAGAAGUGAAAGUGAGUUUUUCUAAUAAAGUUUAGACACCCCAAAAGAAAUGUCAUGUCUUUUGGAAGCAUACUUUUUCCUAAAUAGGCACCUUUAAAUGAAUAGGCACAAUUCAAAUGACUAGACACAGUGACGGAGCAAGGAUUUUUUCCUUGGGGAGGCCAAAAUUUUUUCGAACAAAAUUACCUUAAUAUGUUAUGUUCAAAAUAAUUUUUAUUUAUUUAAAUAUAUGACAUCUUAAAAUAUCAAAUAUUAACUUUAAUUAUAAAGGUAUGCCUAUUUCAUAAAUAAGUAACAUAGUCAUAACUAAAAUUAAGACAAAAAAUAACCUUUGAUUAAAUAUUUUAUAACAUCACAAACUACCUAAGUUGCACAUUAUGAGAAGAUGCUCCAAUAUGUCACUUGUGCAAAAACAAAAAUAUAACUAUGUAAUAUAAAUAUAACUAUUUUCAAUUAAAAAAAGAUAAAAGUUAUGUUAGCAUACCUUGAAAUUUCAUCCUCUUUUAUGAAAAGUAAAUUGAGAUUUACGUUCUUUUAUAGAACUAAAUUUAUGUAUAAUUGAAUCAAUGCUAAAUUUUCGAACAACUUCCUUUUUUUAUGUACAUUGUUAGACAAUCAUUCAAGAAAUUAUCUUUUAUCUUGUUUUGGAGUUUUGUUUUGAUUAUCUUCAUAAUUGAAAAUGUCCAUUCUAUAGACUAUAGAAUGGAGCCAAAAAUUUUUCCUUGGGAGGGGGGCCAAAAUAUUUCUAAAAAAAAUUAUCUUAAUAUGUUAUAUUCAAAAUAAUUUUCAUCUAUUUAAAUAUAUGACAUCUUAAAAUAUCAAAUUUUAAUUUUAAUUAUAAAGGUAUGUCUAUUUCAUAAAUAUGCAGCAUAGUCAUAACAAAAAUUAGGAUAAGAAAUAACCUUUGAUUAAAUAUCUUAUAACAUCACAAACUACCCAAAUUGUACAUUAUGAGAAAAUGCUCCAAUAUGUCAUUUGUGCAAAAACAAAAAUAUAACUAUUUUCAAUUAAUAAAAGAUAAAAGUUAUGUCAGCAUACCUUGAAUUUCAACCUCUUUUCUUAAAAGUAAACUGAGUUUUAUGUUCUUUCAUAUAACUAAAUUCAACUAUAAUUGAAUCAGUACUAAAUUUUUGAACAACUUCCUUUUUUUUAUGUACAUUGUUAGACAAUCAUUCAAGAAAUUAUCUUUUAUCUUGUUUUGGAUCUUUAUUUUGAUUAUAUUCAUAAUUGAAAAUAUCCGUUCUAUAGUUGCAGUUGACAUAGGAAGAGUGAGAACAAAUAUAAUUAAUCUGUCAACAACAAAAUAGAUCACUCAAUUUCUUGUCUUCACCAAACUUUCAAGUAAUUAUUUGUACAUUUGUAUAUGGGUCAACAAGAGUAUAGAUCACUAAUUUUAAAUUUUUUAUCAAUUAGGCUAAAUUGUAUAUUUGUAUAUGGACCAAUAAAGUAAUUAUUUUUGUUUUAGCCCAUUGAUAAUUAUGAAUUGAGUUUUUUAUUAUAAUAUAUCAAAUUGGGUCAAUUUACUAUGGAUUAUCAAAUUAUAUGUUUAAUUUUUUGAAUGUUAAAUAAUUAGCACAAUAAAAGAUAAAUAACUUUUUUUGAAGAAAAAAUUAAAUCAAAGUUGGCUAAUUCAUACACAUACACACAGAUAUAUAUAUUUAUAUAUAUAUAAACUCUCAUAAUAUAAACUAAAAUUGUAAAAAAUUAGGGAGGGCCAACUUUGUCUUAUACAUAUAUUUACAUAUUAUGAAUUAAAAUUUUCAAAACUUAGGAGGGGCCAUGGCCCCCCUCAGCCCCCCUGGCUCCGUCAUUGCUAGACACUUCCUUAAGAGUUAUACUAGUUUACAUUAGACACAACUCUUAGAACAUCCCAAACAUCAUGACACCUGAAUUGGCGCGCAAACCUUUCCAUUCUCCUCUAACUUCCAAUGAAGAAUCAUUACUAACUAUAUCCAACAAUCAUUUCUUUAAAUAGGUGUCUUUAAAACAUUUUUAACAUUUACGCAUAAAAUAGGUGUCCUUCGAUUUAAACCUAUUAUUAGUAUAAUUAUUUCAAAACCUGGUUGAAAUUGAUGGUAAUUAUAAAUUUUAAACCACAAUUCCUACAUAACAAGAUCGGAAAUAACUAUACACAUAAAUCUUACUUAUUUCUUGUAAAAUGUUCACCAUGAAUUUUAGCACCGUAUUAUGGCCUUGUGCUACCUCCUGAUUCAUGAACUCUUACAAAAGCUUUAGUCCAAACUUUUGAUAGAAGUGGCACCACCUCUGGAGUUCAUAUAAGUGAAGUCUAUCUUGGAAUCUUGUAAUUAGACUACCUUGUUCUUAUACCAAACGUGUUUACUUCAUUAAGAAUAAUUUAUUCAACCUCCUUAUUUCAUAAGUACUUUUGAUUACUAGUACUUGCUAAUAGUCAAACGAUAACUUGUUAUUACCUAUUAAACCUUUAGAAUUACUUGGUAAUAAGAAAGGUUAGGUUACCAUUACCAUUGACAAUUUUAGAAUGGUUUUAGGCCCAUAGCACUUGUAGUGCUUUUGAUAAUUUCUCUUGAGAGUCCUUUAGUUAAAGGAUCAGCAAGAUUAUUAACAGAUUUUACAUAGACAACUGUUAUAAUUCCAUCAUAAAUGAAUUGUCUUACAUAUUCAUGUUUUCAAACAAUAUGUCUAGAUUUAUCAUUAUAAAUCUUGCUAAAUGCCCUAGACAUAGUUGCUUCACUAUCACAGUGCAAAGAGAUGACUGACAUCGGUUGUGGCCACAACUCUAUAUCUAGCAAUAAAUUUCUUAGCCAUUCUGCCUCUUUACCUGCUAAUGCUAAUGCAACAAAUUCAGAUCCCAUAGUCGAAUGAGUAAUACAUGUCUGUUUCUUUGAAGCCCAUGAGAUAGCUCCUCCGCCUAUUUUAAAAAUCCAACCAAACAUUGAUUUAUUAUCAUUUAUACUAGUUAUCCAACUAGCAUCACAGUAACCUUCAAGUACAGAAGGAAACUUGAUAUAAUACAAUCCAAAAGACUUUGUCUUUUUAAGGUAACUUAAUACUCGUCCAAUUGCUCUCCAAUGGUCAGUACUAGAAUUAUGAGUAAAGCUAGAAAGUUUGUAAAUAGUGAAUGCAAUAUCAGAUCUAGUACAAUGCAUAGCAUACAUCAAACUAUCAAUUGCACUAGUAUAGUCUAAUUGACUAAUAGAUCUUCCCAAAUUUUUCACUAGCUUAUUAGAAAUAUUAGAUGGGGUAUUAGCUUCUUUUAUAUCCAAAUGAUUAAAUUUGGAUGGAAUCUUGUCAAUGUAAUGAGAUUGACAUAGAGCAUAACCCCCACUAUAUUUCUUAAUAUUGAUUUCUAAGAUGAUAUCAACUUCUUCCAAAUCUUUCAUUUUAAAUUGGGAGGUUAAAUAUCCCUUAGUUUCAUUUACUCCUUGCAUGUUGGUCCCGAUGAUUAACAUAUCAUCUACAUAAAGACAUAUAAUUACACUAUAAUCUUUGGUAACUUUGGAAUAUUUACAUUUAUUUGCUUCAUUAUGUCUAAAGCCAUUUGUUAAAAUUACAUUAUCAAACUUCUCAAGUCAUUGUUUUGGAGCUUGCUUUAAACCAUACAAGGAUUUAACUAAUUUACAAACUUUCUUUUCAUUUCCAGGAAGUAGAAACCCUUCGAGGUGCUCCAUAUACACUUCCUCGUCUAGAUCUUGUGACGCCCCCCACUUCUCCCAAGGGCGAACCCAAGGGUAUCCGCGAGACGCCUGCCCAGCUCUCGCCAGGACUCAAGACAAAUCAAAUCGAACUUAACGAUACAUACCAAAUACUACGAGUCAAAAUGAAGAAAAGUCACUUCCUUAACUAAAUAUUUAAAUCUUACAUCAUGUCCACAAAAGAUACAUCAAGUUCCAAAAUGCAACCAUUAAAAGUCGACUACACAUUUACAGCCCUGAUUCCAAUCAAAAGUAUAAUCUAGUCGGCUUUACCAAAAUCUUCCAAUCCAACCUGUUAAGGAAAACAAACUAAUAGGAUGAGCCAAUACUCAGUGAGGCCAAGAAAACACACAUGCAAACACAUAAUCCAAGUAGCAACAACAAUUACAUUGUAGGUAAGACUAUCAAAUUCGAAUAAUUCACAUUUCGAAUAGGAAAAAUAAACAGAAAUAAUUCAAGGAUACUGUAGCUCUCAGGAGCUAAAUUCCACGUAGUCGAGUCGAAGUCUUGAUCACAUCUCACGUUGACACUCCGUCAACCACAUAAGUAUCAAAUCCGUAGAUACACCACUUUUCUUCGAAUCCCGUCACCGUUACACCCCCUUACCGGGCCCGCUCAUCAAAGUUUUUGAUAAUACUCGAGUAUAUCAUGGCAAUACUGCACGAGUAAUGCCGAGCAAGAUCUCUCCAAUAGAUCAUGCUCUACGAAUAUCUCAUGGUUUGCUAAGCUUAUCGACCAAGCCCAUGCUGGCUCGAUUCGCAAAGUUAGCCAACGAGUUUUGGGCAUCCCCCGAAUAUGAAUACGAAUACGAAUAUAAGUCGAUGAGCAAUGCUCAAAUCGACGAUUCCAAAUAGGAAUCACAAAUACGGAUCACAUAUACGAAUCACAAGUACAAAUCACAUCCACAUUACCAUGUACAAGUUGGAUACGAAUUCACAUAGCAAAAUUCGAAUAUAAUUUCAUUUGAAAGAGAACGAGUGCGAUAAAGUACACCCUCGUCUCAAAAUUUCAAAUUUACAUAACGGAUAAGAAACAGAUAACCACUUAACAACAAGUUCAUGCACUUGACACUCACAGUGAUUCAAGUAGCGAGUUCAAAUGAUGGUUUAGGCGUCUCCCGUGAGAUCCUCUGGAAGGUCCUCUUGAGCGCCUGAGCAUUUAAUAGUGAAUUAUCAUUCACAUAUCCCAAUUAUCAAGGAAGAUUGUGCACUAGUACAAUCUGGGGAAAUUUCAUGAAAAUGAACCUCAAUUACUAGUAAAUCGAGGUUCAAGUGGAGUUUCUUAAUGUACAAGAGCAAUCGAGUUUUGUUAUCUUGGAAAUCAAGCAUAAACGUUCAAGUAUUAUCGAAGGAAUAAGGAAUACUUGAAAAACUCCAUUUCCUUGAAAUUCAGAAAAUUUUAGUUUUGAUACGAUAUUUUGAAAAAAUCGUAUCUCAGAUUCCACAUGUCGAAAAUUGGAAAACUUGGUACCGUUGGAAACCUCUUCCAAAGUACUAAAAGUUAUUAGAAGACACUUUUCCAUGAAUCUAAGUGGAAGGUGUUCAAAAAUGAGCUUAAAGUUGCUGUUCCAAAUCACCCAGGAUUGAGCCGGGGUUGGUUUUUCGCUAACUUUGAAAAUUCAGAAGAAUUCACUCGUUGUAAACCAGCCCUUGAAAUUUGUAGCUCAAUUAGAGGUACAAGUAAGGUUUAGGGUAGAAUAAGCGGAUCGAGAAUCGGAGUUUCGAGACCCAAGAUAUGGUAGCUCAAAGUUGGAUAGAUUUCAAGACUGUUAACAAAUUUCCAGAUUUGGUUCCGACUUUGGACCUUUAGUUAAGUGUCGAAACGGACUUGGAUUGAUACCAAAUUUUGCAGUAUAAUACUCCUAUAUGAAAGGUAUCUCUCUAUCAAAUUUUAUGGAAAAAUACCCUCGGAAGGGUGGUCAUUCAAUCAACCAAAGUUUGGAAAAAUCCUUAAGGCAAUCUGUCCAAAACUAAGGUUUUCAAAAACGAGGCAGUUGCCGUGUAUUGAUCAUAACUCCCUCAAUUUAACUCGGAAUUGGAAAUGGUUGAUAGUGUUAGAAAAUAGAUUCAUAGGGCUACAACUUCACAGAAGAAAUCGUUUUAAGUUUCAGCAUGCAACUGGUUCAAAAUCAAGCCUAAAGUUGCAGCAUCAUCAAAUCAUUUCGGCAGAACGGAGAAACAGGACAGUCGACUUCAGAUGAAUGGUGUGGCUCACACACACGAAACCUGAAGGUCCAUUAUACACCGUUGGAAACAUGGGAACGUCUAGUUUCAAAUACCGCUAACGGCACUUGAUUUCGACGUCGGAGUACGGAGUUAUGGACGAAAUACAAACACUGGUCUGGAUUACGGCGAACCCGUUUUCCAGAUUACUAGUUUUUGAAAUAAAUUCGUUUGAUCAACCAAAACUCAAUAUUUUCCAACGAAAUUUUGUGCACAACUUCUGCAACAUGUAAUCAACAUAAUCAGGCCAUUAAAUCCUCAGUUUCUGCAUUAAAAUGACCGAACAGAACAGGGGUAAAAUGGGAACUUUUUACUUCAAGAGUUCAACAACGUUUCUGUCCACAAUACACCUUUAAUCUACUUCCUUAAGCUCUAAUUCAGCAAUAAAACCAUCAUCAAACAUCAUCACAGCCAUCAACCCAAAGUGGGAGUUCAUAGAGCCCACGUUUCCAACAAUACAAGCUACUAAAGUGAAGAUUCCAACUCAAAUGCAUAGAUCAACUUCCAUAAGACAAAUUCAAGGUGCUUGAUUAGUACCUACUUUGAUGACUGGUUUGGACAGAUUUUUCGGCCCCUUUGAAGCUUGAAGAAACCGUGGAUAGCUCCUUCCUUUUGCAGCUAAGUUGCCGUCCAAGUGAAAAGCUAAAUGAAUGUGGAGAUUGGUAAGAAUCUAUGGAAGUUUUGGUAAGGAUUUGGAUGAGUUUUGGAAGAAAGAAAUGGUGAAGCCUCGGUUGUCUCUUGAUGUCUAGCCGUCCAUGAAGCUUUGCAGAAAUGAAAUGAGAUUGAAAUGAAGCUACGGUUCUGAAGCCUUUGCGUACGAAAGACGCUUGACGUCAAAUCUUUUAAUACGUCAAAUCAAUUAUAACUAGUACCCUACGCGCGCGUUUUGUGUUCGAUUUCUCUUACGUUUGUUGCACUAGUGCACUAAACCUCUAGGGUACUUACAUUUAUAUAAAUAUUAUCCAUUCUUAAUUGUCCCAAAAUAAUGGUCCAAAGUCCCUCAAUUAAGCGCGCACGUGAAAACACGUAUUUCUAAUUUAGGCGCAAUAAUAUUGAAACCUUUGAGAAAUUCUUAUAACGAUCGUACCACUAGCUAUCACUUGUGUGUUUAAACCUAAAAUUGUCUAUUUCAGGACCAUUGUAUAGGUCUCAAAUUUUUGAGCUUAUUGUACUCCUAAUUGGCUAAAGUUUUCAGACACGUUUUCACUUUUUCACUAAACAAGUUUCUAAGAAAAUAAUUUUUGAAACGAGACACUUUAAAAAUAUAACGAAGCUAUAAAACCAUAUAUUUAGGUCUAAUAAGGAUAGAAAAUAAUAUUCGGGCAAAAAUCCAAAUAGAUAAUUAAUUGAGCCAAAAUUAGGGGUUUAAAAAUAAUAAUUUUACGAGUGCUCACGUGAAUUGAGUAUUAAUUCCUCAAUUAACCUUUCUUAAUCUAUUAUUGAUCGUUCUUAAUUCUCCAAUAUUAAUACACUCUCGAUUCAAAUAUAGUCUCGAAAAACGUGCACUCGUUGUUCCGAACUAAACGAGUUUUCGAAAAGUGAAUUUUUCCAACAAAACGCUUUUAAAAAUAUAAAAGAGGCGUCGUUCCAUAUAAAUGGAUUUUAAAUGAUCGAAAUAAUAAUUUGGAGAAAAAUGAGUAAAUAAAUAUUUAAACAAACUACUAAUAUUCGAUAAAAUAAAAUAAAAAAAUUUCGGGUCCUCACAGAUCUCCACUUAAGAAUGUUGUUUUAACAUCCAUUUGAUGAAUGUAUAAAUCAUAUAUGGAUGCUAAAGCAAACAACACUCUUAUAGAAGUAAUUCUUGCAAUAGGAGCAUAUGUUUCAAAAUAAUCAAUACAUUUUUUUGUUUAAAACCCUUUGCUACAAGUCUUGCUUUGAAGGUUACUAACUAACCAUCAAUGCUACGUUUUCUUUUAAAUAUCCACUUGCAUCCUAUUGGUUUACAACUAGGAGGUAAUUCACAAAACACCCAUGUACCAUUUGACACAAGAGAAUCCAUCUCAUCAUUAAUUGCUUCUUUCCAAAAAGUUGAGUCUCUUGAAGCUAAUGCUUCUUUAUAAGUUUUAGAAUCCUCUUCCAAAUGUAAUAAUAUAGGUAUUUUAUUAAAUACCUCAUUUCUACUACCUUUUACUAAGAAGACUAUUGAUUGUGAAGAAAUAAAAUCUGGAUCCAAAUUCUUCUCUUUUCGUGCUCUCUUGCUUCUCCUAGGUCCUCUAGGAGUUUCAUCGAUUUUCCUUUUAUUAUUAUUUGAAGAAUAAUUAGGACUCAUAGUAGUGUUUUGUGAUAAUAUAGAAUGUGGUUUGAAUCACUUAGAAAACUUGUUUCUAAGAACUCAACAUCUCUAGACUCCACAAUUAUAUUUGAAUCUAAAUCCAAUAAUCUAUAUGCUAUUGAAUUCUCAACAUAUCCCACAAAAACACUUUUUAAACUUCUUGGUCCUAACUUUGGUCUUUUAGGGUCUGGAACCCUAUAAUAGGCUAAACAGCCCCAUACCCUCAAAUAAUCCAAAUUUGGUUUUCUACCUUUCCAUAGUUCACAUGGCGAAAUCUUAGUCUUCUUUGAGGGUAUUCGAUUAUACACAUGACAAGUGGUUAAUAAAGCUUCUCUCCAAAGAUUAAAUGGUAAUCUAGCAUGCAUAAGCAUAGCAUUUACCAUAUCAACCAAUGUUUUAUUUUUUCUUUCGACUAAGCCGUUUUGUUGAGGAGUGUAAGGUGCACUUGUUUGAUGAAUUAAACCAUUUUCUUCAAAAAAAAAACCAGAAAAUUCAUUGGAAAAAUAUUCACCUCCUCAAUCACUUCAUAGGACUUUAAUUUUCUUUUCCAAUUGAUUUUCAACUAAGGCCUUAAACAAUUUAAACAUAUCUAAUGAUUGAUCUUUUGUUCUCAUUAAAUAAACAUGUAUAAAUCAAGAAUGAUCAUCUAUAAAAGUUAUGAAAUAUCUAUUUCCACUCCUUGUUAAAUGACCAUUCAAUUCACAUAUAUCAAAAUGUAUAAUUUCAAGCAAUUUAGAAGUUCUUUCAUUCUUUGGAAAAGGUUUCUUUGUCUUCUUUGCUUGCAGACAUGUUUCAUAUUUUUCAAAGUUGUCAUUUGUGCAGGAUAUUAAUCCAUGUUUUGACAUGAACUUGAUUGACCUAAAUUAACAUGUGACAAACGAGUAUACCAUAAAUUAAUAGAAGACUCAAUCAAAUAAGCAUAAAUAACUUUAUUGAUACUUAGUUUGAACAUGCCCUUACAUGAAUAUCUUUGGCCAACAAAUUUAUUAUUUUUGGAUAGAACUACUUUUUCUGCCUCUAUGACAGCCUUCAAUCCCUUGUUGCAAAGUACACUUGUAGAAACCAAAUUCUUCCUUAUGUCAGAAUCAUGAUAGACAUUGGUUAGAACCAACGUUUUGCCAGAAGUAAACUCCAAUUCAACCCUCCCCUUUUCAAGCACAUUGGAUGUGUUACGAUUUCCCAUUAACACAAUCUCAUUUGGGACAGCAACUUGAUAAUCUUUGAAUAAAUUCUUAUCAUUGCACACAUGAACAGUAGCACCCGAAUCAUACCACUAAUCAUUAGAUUGACAAUUUGUCAAGUUGCAUUCAAUUACCACAUUGAUAGAAAGUCUACCAACCAUAGCAACAAUUUUUGAAUUAUUGGGAAGAGGAUCUUCAACAACGUUUGCCUUUUUGUGUUCAGCAUUUACUUCCGUUUUCAACUUCUUGUAGGACCUACAUUCUUUCUUCAAAUGUCCUUUCUUACCACAGAAAAAACAUGACUUGUCUUUCUUAUUAUUGGCUGAAAUUUUAGAAGACAUUUCUCCAUGUUUUCCCUUUUUGCCGGAUAUAUUUCCACCCUUUCUAGAUUUUUUCUUAGCAUUAGACUUAAUAUUAUUCACUUUAGAACCAGAUUCCAUAGCAAAUUUAUUCUCACGAAUACGAGUUUCCUCUUCAAUUCAGAUAUGCUUUGUAAGUUGGUUUAUGGUGAAAUUUUCAGAAGUGUGCAGCAGUUUCUUCCUAUAGUCAUUCCAAGUGGAUUGUAAUUUUACAAUCAUAGCACCCACUUGAAGUUGAUCUGACACUUCAAUACUUAAAUCCUUUAGUCUAGACACUAACAGAAGUAAUUCAUCCACUUGAUUCAUCAUAGAUUUGUUGUCCAACAUUUGAAACUCAAAGAACUUCAUAGUUAAAAUUUGUCCGUACCUUGUUUUUCAUACAUGUAUUUGUUCUCCAAAGCCUUCCAAAUUUCUUGUGGUGAUUUAAGAGAGCGAAACAGAUCAUAUAGAUAGUCAGACAAGGUGUUUAAGAUGAAGCUCUUACAACGAACUUGGUCUUCCUCACGUUUCUUGCCGCUUGGCUUGAUCUCAUCAGAUUAUUAGCAGAUUAUCAGCCAACAGGUAUGCAAUGCCUAAUUCCAUGAGAAGGAAUAGCAACUUGUCUUUCCAGCAGGUGAAGUUGGUGCCAUCAAAACGAUCCAACUUGAUCAUAUCAGACUUGAAAUUUUUGUUCAGAACAUUAUCCGAACUGGUGCCCUCCAUGUUGGAAAUUUCCUUAAGAUUGUUAGAGAAGUUUUAACUACAACUACGGAAAAUGAUUUUCAUGUGAAGAUUCACUUUUUUUAAGGAAAUUUGCCCCCACUAUUCUACUACCGGGUUUGCUGCAAUUUCCUCCAGGAAUAACAAAGCCAACCAGACUUUCCUCACAGUAGAAUGAAGAACUCCUCCCAAGAACGGUUUAGAGAAUUAUUGUUUUGAAAAGAAGUACAUAAAUAGUAAAACUAGAAGUAAAAGUGAGUUUUCCUAAUAUCUAAACAUCCUUAUUUACAACGUUCAGACUCCCCAAAAGAAAUGUCAUGCCUUUUGGAAACAUACUUCUUCCUGAAUAGGCAACUUUAAAUAAAUAGGCACAAUUCAAAUGAUUAGACAAUUUCUUAAGAGUUGUGCUAGUUUACGUUAGACACAACUCUUAGAACAUCCCAAACAUCAUGACAAUUGAAUUGGUGUACAAACCCUUCCAUUCUCCUCUAACUUCCAAUGAAGAGUCAUCACUAACUAUAUCCAACAAUUGUUGUUGCUUAUUUUCCACUCUUAGCUAUCGCAAUCAACAAUCCAUCUUCUCUGCCAGAUAAUAUUGAAUCAUAGUCAUCACCUUCAGCAAAUAUCAGCUCUCCAACCUCCUAUACCCCUUAGAUUGCUGUGUAGCUCCAUUACCAAUUGGGGACCUUACAAAAUGUAACUACAUUAACCACCACGUGAACAAAACAGCACCAAAAAAAGCAUAGCCUUAAGCCCAGCUUGAGGCUGAACUUGAAAAGCCAUAAUUACUGCCACAAGCUACCUUAAAGAGCAGGACACGAACACUGACAUUUUGGAUAGCCUAGCUACUCAUUGUGUAUAUAUGCCUCCUAAAAUAGCAUUAUGCCUAGACAACAUACCACUUUUUGUUAUUCUAUUGCCGCAUCAGGCUAGCAUAUGUAAAUACCAAAAUCUAGCUACUGCUACUACUUAUCUAAGUCUAGCUUUUAGUUAAACCCCACUAGCUGCAUUCUUGAACCAAAGAGAGCUAACAUCACACCGGCAUCCAACUGAUAGAAUCACAUCAAACAAGUUGACAAUCAAGACAACCUGAAGCAUAGCGUCGGGCAUGAACACUAGUGUGUGUGUGAGUGUUUGUGUAUUUAUGUAUAUAUGAUGUACGUACACAUGUAUAUUAGCCUUUUAUUAGUUGGUCCUUUUAUUUGGAUUGAAAAUUUAUUUCUAUAUUAGAGUGAUGAUUUCAAAAUAUAUAUAAUAUAGUUUCAAACCAUUCUUCGGAUGUUGAAUUAGAAUACUCCAAUAACACUGUCUAUGUGAACCCAUACCCAUUUAAAUUUCAUUUAGUUAAGAAAUAGUAUAAAAAUAGAGUCACUUCUUUUUUCUACUUAGAUAAAAAAACUCAUGAAGUAUUUCAAUUUAUAUAUUUUUUAAAUGAAUUUUCCUGGACCAAUACACGAAUUUUUGGGGUCAGGUCUAAUCUUAGGAGGUCUACGAGUAGUAUUACUUCCCAACUUGAUUGCAACUAUUGGUAUCAAACAAACCCAUUUAGUUAAAUUUACCUAUACACACACAUGAACAGCUGGGUGUGUGUAUCUUACAUUUUUAUAUAUGGGUAUAAAUGGGUUAUCCAAUAAUACCCAUUUAAUAAAUGGGUGUAAUUAACCUAUUUAGAAUUGUCUUCACAAUCAAAUCCAUUUAGAAUUGUUUUCAGUAAUAGUAUCCUAAUUUCUUCAUCACCUUGGACCAAACAUAGCAUUAGAAAGUGGAGAACCUAAUGGAAAGAUGGGAGAAUCUGUUGGCCAGUUUUCAACUUAGAGAAAAAAAAUGACUAUACACUUGGAGAUUUUUUGUCCUGUUUUUAUUUGUAUUUUCAUGGUAUCUAGUUUCAAAUUCAUAAGUUGGUCAAUCAUUGUUUAAUCUCUCUUUUUCAUGGUUCCAAAUCCUCUCCAUAUUGCAUAUAAAAAAUAUUCUUAUUGUUCAUUUAUUAAAUAGUAUGUAAUUUUGUGACAUAACACACAAAUGGGAAAAAAAUGGUAAUUAGACUUAUUGGGUAUUAUAAGUAAAUAUUUAAAAUUAAUGAUGGGUGCAAACUGCAAAGGGUGGUAUAAAUUGAUAACUUAGUUUACAAAAUAAAUUUAGAUGAGUUUGUAAAAAGUUAGAAUAAAUGGGUUGUAAAUGGGUAAUUGGGUUACCCAACUCAUUUUUUGACUUAUCCAUUUAUACCUAUCUAAUUAAACGCGUAUAAAUCGGUUGACUCACUUAUACCUAAUACUUAUUUUAACCCGUCCAAAUCACCUAUUUUGACACCUCUAAUUGCAACUAUUAUCCAACUUGAUUGAACUAAUCUAUAGGGGUGGUAAUUGCUGACACGAUAUGAUAGCACAACUCAAACAUGAUCCGGAAUUAGCAGGUAUUAGCACGACCUGAAAUCAAGUGAGUUAUUAUUAGAUCAACCUAUUAAUGACACGACUAAACACGUAUCGGGUUGGGCAACCCAUAGGUUGACACAUUAACCCGAUGGAAAAUAGCUUUUUAGAAUAUUAUAAAUUAUAGAGGCAAUUUUAACCUACAAAUCAAAUUAACAAAUUAUCAACGUAAUGCAAGACAACUCCUUUAUCUUCCUCCAACUUAUUUAUCUUAUAGUUUUCCUCUAAAUUUCAAACCCUACACCCUAUAGCCAUACUUCUUUUCUCAAAACGCAACCCCUAAACCACAUGUUUUAACUCACAGGUUUGGAACUUGCAAGUGUAUUGUGCUAAAACUUUUUAAUUAGCUUUCAUUAUAAGAGGACGAAUUCUUGAUCAAUAUCGUAGUUGUCUUAAAUCGGAUGUUAUGAAAGCUUUAAUUUGUACUCAAGAUGGGCAAUUUGGAUAUAGAGGUAAUGAUUACAAACAUUCUUUCUUUCGUCUUACAUUUUAAUUUAAUAUUUUUAUGAAGGCUUAAUAACAAAGUAUCUGUGAUAUCGUUGUUACAUACUACACUAUUGCAUUUAGAUGAUCUCACUGAAAACAUCAUGAUAUUAAACAUCAAUUCCAAACUUUUGAAUCAAUUUAGGCUUCUAACACAGCCAUUAACAUUAUAUGAGGCAACUAGUCUUUUAACAUUUUCAUUUUUUUAUAUAUUUAUGCAUUUGUAAUUUGUAUCUAAAGAUUAAAUUAUUUUUUCCAUUGUGCUACUUAGGUGGAUUGAAAUAUUUGUUGAAGAAAUGAAGGCCUGUUAGAUGGAUGGUUAUCCAGGCUUAUGAGUUUAGCUUGAAAAUUGCAAAUAGAAUAUUUGAAAACUCAUAUUUAAUUUUGCAUAAUUAUUAGACUUUUUCUUAGUUGAAAACUACAAGUUCAACUUGGCUUUUCACUUUGAAAACUUUUUUAUGUAUUAUGUUUAAAAAAUUUGGAAACUUUAAUUUGAAAUUAAUGAUUUAAUCUUAUAAAUAGGUUUGCUCAUGUUACAAAUGAUUAUUAAUUUAUUAUGAUAUAAAUUAUUUAAUGGGUUGAACGGAUUGGGUCAUUGAUACGAGGCUAGCUGGUCUUAACAUUUAUCAAAUCCAUUUGCAUUGAGCUAGAGUCAUUUCAUGGUGUCCUCAUUGUGUCUUGGCCGAAUGGUUCCCUUUAUGGGCUGUUUGUGGCUUAUUUCCAUUGUUUUAUGUCAUUUGGUUGUUAAUUCCAAAAUUUGAGCUUGGUCAUCUUAGUCAAUUAGUUAAUAAAAGGGCUCAAGGUCAUGUUGACCAUGUUGACCAUAGUUAGUAGCCAAUUGGAGUUAAAUUCAUAGAGUUAAUUGGAGUUAGGGUUAAGUUCUUACUUCCUAGUUGGAUUAGGAGUUUGGUCCUGUAAAAGGCUAUAAAAAGCCUUUACUUUCAUGUUUUAUGGGCAUUGAAUAAAGUUGAGAAAAUUUUUCCAGAUUUCUUUACGAAUGAAAGAGCUCCCCUUGGCUUGUGAAGCCAAUAUUGAACAUCUUAGAGUUGCCCUAAGGUGGUUCGUCAACUUAUCAAUCAAGUAGUCCCCUUGAUUGUGGCGUUGUUCUACCCGUUCUAGUCUUUCUUGUGCGGUCCAAGAUAGAUUACAGACUCCGUCACCAAAUGUGAUUCCUAACCUAGAUCCGGGCUUGUGCGUCACGUUCUUGAUUCGUCUCGGCGUUUCAAGAAUCAUAUCAGUCAUAUUAACUCGUUAAUAAGCAGAUCAUAACACGAAAAUCUAUGAGUUGGGUUAGAGUUGAGAUUUUUUGACACGAACACGAUACGAUACAAUAAUAACACAACACGACCCGUUGCUACACCUACUAAACUAUGAUAAAUUAAUAGUAGUAAGAUGUAGCACAUUGCUGCAAUUGGCAGUUCGAGGGGCAUGUACCAACUGAAGAUAGUUUAGGGAGUUAUUUUACAAUUAACCCUUAAUUUUAUUAGUUGGGCAUAAACUUCAUCAUCCCUCGCUAUUAAUCCAAUUCCACACUAUGAAUUCUUUAGGUGGAUAUGAGAAUUUCAAUUCUAACUCCAUAAGUUAACCGGGUUUAGUGGCUAAAUUAAGUAAAACGCAUCCGUACAUAAACUUGGUGCAAAAAAAAAAAAAAGAAUCGUCUCUCUCUUCCUUUGUCAUUAGCAUAGCCAUCGCCGCUGCUUCUUUGCAUCCUCCAUCGCAUCCUUGCUUCAUCAACCUGUAUCAUUCUCUUGUGGGCUGACCUUUCAUCUCGCUUCUCUCCUCCAUCACCUCAAAUUGGAUUUCUCUUCUCUCUACUCUCUUUUCUCCUCUCCUCUUCUACAGACUCAAUGUCCGUCUUCAUCUUUGUUGCCUUCGCCUUAAAGGUGACUUCCUUAAAAUGAAAAAACAAAACUUACUUUUUCACACCAUUGUGAUCUAGUAAAAUAUCCACCAAAAAUUUUGCAAUAAAUUAAGUAUUUGAUAUUCCAAUUUGGUGAAACUAGAAAAAGAGAUUUGCUUAAAAUGAAAUGUGUUCGAUUUGGUUAAAAUCAAUAGUUCUUUGUCUCAUUGUUGUAAAAUGUUAAUUUUUUCUUUCAGCUUCUUUGUAAAAUAGACAAGAAUUGGGUCAAUGCCACUGCUCGACUGAACUUAACCAAUUUUAGUACCAGGUGCCUCUACUUGUUAUCCGUAAACUCAAAUGGUAAAAGAAUAAGGGCAUGAACCAUCUGUUGAUUUGAAGAAGAUGAAAAAGAUUUUGGUAAAUCCAGUUAUCGGUGGAAAAUUUAGAAUAGCAGCACUGCGGUUUCUGCCAUAAGCAUAGAACAGUGAGGAUUUAGAGCACAAGACAUGAAGGAUGGAGUUAAAUUUAGAUUUCAAUCACCUAAUAGGUGGAUUUGAAUAGCUACUUAUAAGAUGUGUCCAGUGAAUAAUGGUCUGCUAGAAUCGUAGUUUCAAAGUUUAUCGACAUAUAUUUCUUUCUAAAAAGUCUGUGCCUUUGGUUUUUUGUUGGAGAUGAUAGAAACUUUUCUCAGUAAUCACAAAUAUGAUAAGUUGUGAGUAGAGAGUUUGCAAAGAAAAGUACAUUGUAUAGACCUUGCCUGUUGAAAGCUAGCCAAAAGACCAAAAUAAUUGUAUACAAGGUUACCGUACAUUGCGCUUUAGAGUGCUCAAAGGCCUAAUUGUUUCUCUUCAAUAAGUCAGUUUAUGUGCAUAUGCAACUAAGAUUUCGACGCAUAUUGUAAUUCAUGUUAGGACUGAACCUUGAAUUCUUCGAGUUCUUAUUUGACUGAUAUUUAAUAUGCUCUACUGCUUGCAUUCUGCAGGAAAAGUCACACUAGAGAUGUAACAUUUUUGUGCUAAGUAGUAUAAUUUACUUAACUGCAUUCAUAGCUAUGACUUAAAUCACUUAUCACUUCACCACAAUUGAGUCAUAUUAAUGUCCUAGAAGGGUUUAAAGCUACAUUGGGUCUUGCUGGAUUUCCCUCUAUGCCAUUCAAUGUUCCAGUUCCUUUACAAUUUUUCGUUUCUUAUUCAAUGGUCGUGCAAUUCUAACUAAUUUUUCUUCUUUGAGGAAUGCAGAUGCUGAAUCCUGAAAGGGAUCAAGUAAAAUUUGACCUACAAUGGGUGACAAAAUCCAUUGCUACUAAUAGAUGAGAUGAAUUUGUUGGUUUAUUUAAAGGGCAAUUUGAAAAUAAUGUAUCUGAGGUAGGGACCUUAUAUUCUCAUAUAUUGAAGUGGUAAGCUGGAUUUCUCAACAUGGACAUCAAUUUUCAUGAGCUUAUAUUUUUCUUAUGGAGCUUGUAUGGAUUAGUAUUUGUUGGUUUAUUUUUAAGGCUUUGACCAGAAUAUUUUGAUUAUAGUUAUUUGCUCUGUUUUACUAUUUUAACAUGCUAUCCGCUAUUUCGCAAUUUUUACUUUGAUGCUCUCCCUAUGCUAGCUAAUGUAGUUGACACUGUUUACUUUGUCAUAUUUGCACUGGUAAUUGGACGAAACAGUCAUUGUUGACUAUGUGACGCCCCCACUUCUCCCAAAGGCGAACCCAAGGGUAUCUGCGGGACGCCUGUCCAACUCUCGCCAGGACUCGGUACAAAUUCAAUUCAAACUUAAGAAUAACCAAUCAGUACUAAAAGUCAAAAAUAUAAAGGAAGGUCAAUUCCUCAAUAAACGUUCAAGUCUUACAUCAUAAUCUACCCAAUUACUUUACAUUCCCAAAAUAUACAACUUCCAAAAUCAAAUUCUAGACAAAUACAUUCACAAUUCUAAUCAAGUGAAGCAUCAAGUAAGCUUCUCCAGAAUUCCUCUCAUUUCAGCUCCUGUUAAGGAAAAACAAAUCUAACGAGGUGAGCGGACGCUCGUGAGGCCAAGAAAACAUGCAAGGCAAGUUAUUCAAUAGCAAUAGCACUUACACAGUAGUGACAACUAUCACAUGCAAGGAAUUUCACAAUUUAUAAUAAACAACCUUGAGUAGGAUGCAGAAGCUCUCCGGAGCUAAUGAUUUCUUAUUUUGCCCAAGUUCAAUUUUAAAUACCUUUUCGGGACGACACCCCGUCCCCCGGGUAGGUAAUUGAGUUCAUAGCCUUUCACGUAUUCCAUGUAUGUUCUGAGACGAUUCGAGAGGUACCUCUCACCCAAAUCGGUGUGAUACUUACUAUCGUUCAUUUUAUAGUUCUGGGACGAUUCGAGAGGUACCUCCCACCCAGAUCAGUGUGGUACUUACUAUCAUCCAGAGGUCGAUGAGACAUCGCUCCAAUCGACUUAGAAUGCUUUAGGGUUCUGAGACGAUUCGAGAGGUACCUCCCACCCAAAUCGGUGUGGUACUUGCUAUCGUUCAGAGGUUUAGGGUACUGAGACGACUCGAGAGGUACCUCCCACCAAAUCGGUGUGGUACUUACAAUCGUUCAGCGGUCGAUGAGGCAUCGCUCCAAUCGACUUAGCAUAGCUUAGGAUACUGAAACGACUCGAGAGGUACCUCUCACCCGAAUCGGUGUGGUACUUACAAUCGUUCAGUGGUUGAUGAGCAACGCUCAAAUCGACGAUUCCAAAUAGGAACCACAAAUACAAAUCACAUGUACGAAUCACAAAUACGAAUCACAUAUAUGAAUCACAAAUACGAAUCACAUAUACGAAUUACAAAUACGAAUCACAUCCACAUUACUAUGUACAAGUCGAAUAUUAAUUCACAUAGCAAAAUACGAAUAUAAUUUCGUUCGAAAGAGAACGAGUACGGUAACGUACACACUCGUCUCAAAAUUUUCAAUUCACAUAACGGAUAAGAAACAGUUAACCACUUAGCAACAAAUUCAUGCAUUUGACACUCACCAAGUAAACAAAGAAGAAAUGCCCACUUGAGGGUUAAGGCGUCCACCGUAGGAUCCUCUCGAAGGUCCUCUUGAGUGCCUGAGCAAUUAAUAAUUAAAUUAUUACGCACUAUCACUUAAAACCCCUUAUUAUCAAGAAAGAUUGUACACUUGUAUAAUCUAAGAAAAUCUCGCAAGUACGGGCCUUAAUUACUCGUAAAUCGAGCCUCAAAAGUGGGGUUUUAAAAUACAAGCGAAAUCUGAUUUUCAUCUUUGAAAUCAAGUGUAAAAUGAUCAAGUCAUAUCGAAGGAAAAAGAUGAGUUCUAAAACUCAAUUCCUUUAAGUUAGGAAUUUUCAGAUUUAUUACACGUACUUUGAAAAAUCGUAUCUCACUCUCUACAAGUCCAAAAUUGGAAAACUUGGUACCAUUGAAAACUACUUCCAAAGUACUAAAAGUUCCUAGAAUACACUUUCCCAUGAUUCCUAAUGGAAGGCAUUCAAAAACUGGCUUAAAGUUACUGUUUUAGGCUUGCGAGACAGUUUUGAGGUUGGUUUUUCGCCAACUUUGGAAAUUCGGCAAAAUUCAUAAAAUUUGAACUAGUCUCUCAAGUUUGAAACUCAAUUAGAGUUGCAAUCAAAGUUUAAAACAAAACAAGCGGAACAAGAAUCGGAGUUUUGAGCACCAAGAUAUAGCAGCUCAAAGUUGGUCAAAAUCGAGAUUGUUAGGCAAUUUUCCAAUUUGGAAGUAAAACUUUGGUGACUUGUUCGUACGUCAAAACAGUCUUAGAAUGACACCAAAAUUGAUACAUUUCAACUUGCACAUGAGGAGUACUCCUCUACGAAAUUUCACUUAAAAAAUCACAAGGGAAGGUAGUUAACUAAACUACCAAAGUUCAAUGGAAUCCGAAGACAAAUCUGUCUUCAAGCUUCCGUUUUCCGUUUUCAAACAUUUGGCCAAUGAAAUCAUCUCAAAUCUGGUUCAUUUAUGUAGACAUUGUCUAAGAAACAUCCAAGAUACGUUUGGUAGGUGGUUAUCGCCAAGAAUUUCGAAUAAUAAGUCCCAAGUCAAGAUUUGCUAUAAACCAGUCCAAGGUAAGGGUUUUCAAAUCAUUGAGUCAGUUUCGGAUUUCGGCCACAACUCACUCAAUUCAACUUGUAAUUAAGCGUGGUUAGUGGCGUUGAAAAAUAGAUUCAUAAAGUUACAAUUUCUCAGAAGAAAUCAUUUUCAAAAUCUGUCCACAGCUAGCUCAUAUUUGAGCAUCCAUUCGCUGCUCAAAACAGAGCUCCCAGUGUAGACUUGAAACAGGACAGUCAUGUUCAAAUGAUUGGUAUGGACUACUCACGUAAAAUCAGAAUGUGAAUUUUAUACCGUUGGAAAGAUGGGAAUGUCUAGUUUCCAGUGCCACAAACGGCACUCGAUUUCGACAUCGGUGCAAAAAGUUAUAGCCAUUUGAAAAACACUGCCAGAGCAGUAACGGGAAAAAUUUCCAGUUUUACUGAUUUCCGAAAACAUCACAUUUGGCCAACCAAAUCACGAAAUUUUUUGAUGAAAAUUCAUACACAACUUAUAUUACACAUAUCCAUCAGAAACAAGUCAUUAGAACCACCUAAAAUUGCACUAAAGGUCACGGAAGGAGCAAGGGCAGAAUGGUCCUUUUUUGCUCAACUCACUCCCUUGAGUUUUCCUUCAACAACAUAACAUUUAUCCACUAGAUUGAGCACUAAACCAACAUUAAUAACAUCAAAACUCAUCAAAUCAGUCCACCAACCAUAGUGGGAGUUCAUAGAGCCCACACAUCAAGAUCUACAAUAAUCCAAAGCUACCCACUUGAAGUUACAAGCUUCUAGGUGCAAUAUAACUUACAAAAACUAAGAUUCAAGGGCUUGAUCGUUGAUUACCUCCUUAGAUGAUCUUAAUCAGAAAUUUUGGCCCUUAGAGCUCCAAGAAAACCGUGGAUAAGCUGCUCCUCUCCUAGUCCAAGGUAGUCUCCAAGUUAUUUGCAAGUUGGAUGCAAAAUUUGAGAUGAAAUGGAGGAAGAUUGGUGCAAAAUUUGGAGUGAAAAUGGUGAAGCUUUUCUUCCUUCUUCCUUGCUGUUUUGGACAUCCAGAAUGAGAGAGAAGAGAGAGAGAGUGUUGUGAUGAAUAAAUCUUCUUGAGGAAGCUUGGUGGUUGGUGCCCUUUUUGGCACAAAAGUCAACUCUCACUUGCGCGUAUACGCGCGUUUCGCGCUCGAUUCCUCUCGAGUUUGUUUCACUUGUGCACUAAACCUCCAAUGCACUUGUAUUCAUAUAAUUAUUGUUCACUCUUAAUGGUCUAAAAAUAAUGGUUUUAAAUCCCUCAAUUAAUCGCACACGCGAAAACGCGUAUUUCCGAUUUUGCGCGAUAUAGUGAAACUUCUAAGAAAUUCUUAUUACAAUAAUAUAACUAACUAACAUUUGAACGUUUAAACAUAAAAAUACCUAUUUUAGGGCUAAUAUACAUGUCUCCAAUUUUCCAACCUCAUUGUACUCUUAAAUCGGUUAUCGUUCCCAAACGUGCAUUCACUAUUUUCACUUAUCGGACUUCGAAAAAUUAAUUUUUGAAACGAGCCACUCUAAAAAUAUAAGUAAGUCAUAGAUCAAUAUAAUUAGGUCUCAAGAGGCUAGAAAAUAAUAUUCGGAGUGAACGGGCAAUUAAAUAUUUAAAUAAACUUGAAAUAAGAAUUUAAAAUAAGAAAAUUUGCAAGUCCUCACAGACUAUGAUUACCUAAAUUGUGUUUUAUAGUCAUUGGAUUUUAAUUUGUUUUUAAUUUGAUAGGUGAAUGUAUUUUGACUUCCUUUCUUUUUGUACAAUACUAUGCAAUACUGAGAUUCUAAGGCGUCUUGUUAGAUCUAUUAUGCACCAUUUGUUUAAAUUACACUUAUUUGGCUUUUGUUUCUAAUGAUCUUCUCAGUUUUGUUGUUGGUGAAAAAACUGAAGACAAAAAAUAUGAUCUACGCCUUUGAACACAAAUGUGCUUGUAUCGUCACUUUUCUUGCUUUGACUAGCUUGAUUUACUCUUUCUAUGGCUCUCUUUUGUUGUUCUUUGCCUUAUUUUGUGAUUGGAAAAAAUGCACUUUUCAUCCUCAAAGUUUGGGCUGUUGAUCAAUUUCAUCCUCAAAGUUUUACUCCAAACACAUUUCAUCCUCAAACUUUCGUAAUUUUGGCUAAUUAAGGACAAUUGACGGGAAAUGGAGGAAAAAUUAAAUAUUGGGACGGAACUUUGCACUUGAGAAGCACGAUCCGUCAGAUCCAACUUUAUACCCAACAUAAUCGGGUCAAACCGAAUGGAGACACUUUUUCUAACGGAUGAAAAUUUGGAAAAUAGCAAAAGGAAAAAAUCUCUUGUCUUCUCUUUCUUUCUUCUCCAUUCUUCAGCACUAAAAGUUAUUUUGGCCAAUCGUUUCAUCCACUUUUCAAGCAUCUGUUGGCAAGAAGGAGGGCAUAGACGCCAUCCGUGGAGCAUUUUAGGUGAGGGAAAAAAUGGCAUUGCGGAAGAAAGAGCUCCACAUUUGUCCACCCCCAAAUUACGGUAUUUAUACCCAAAUCAACAACUACAUUGUAUAAAGACAUGUGUUUUUUGGGAGAAGAAAACCUGAUAUGUGGUCCCUUGUGUUUGUACUUUUUUCCCACUAUAAUUUAUGGCUAUUUUUUUUUCCAAAUCUAGCCAUUUGCAUGAGGUAUAAAUAAAUUAAAAAAUUUGUCUUGGUUUGAUUAUUAUAAUGUGAAUGCGGUCCCUUAUGUCUGAUGAGAGUUGCUGCUUGACUAUAAUUUUGUGGUGAGAGUGAUUAAUAAACAAUAAUGCUUGGUUUAUUUUGCCGGCCAUGUGUAUGGAAAAAGUGUUAAAGUGGUCCUUGUUAGGUAGUUUUUGUGUGGGUCAACAAUUUGUUGUGCUGAAAUGAUGAAGUUUUUUUUUCCCUGAAGAGUCUGAUAUAUAUUGUUUUCUUUAACCAGAAACGGGCAGCACAUUUAUUACAUUAAAAUAUCACCAUGGAGGCCUCAUUUCAUAUACUCCUGAUCCCCAUUAUGAAGGUGGAGAUUUGUGUGUUUUUACUAUGUUGAGAGUAUACGUCUAAGUGUUUUCGAAGUGGAUCGAUUAACUGAGAGUGCUGGUGUAUAUGGUCAUAAGGUGUACUAUGGUUGGAAAAAUAACACCUUUAGGAGGAUAGACAUCAGUAGGGAGUUGAAUGGUUAUGUUAAGGGAGAGGUUGGACCAACUAAGGAAGUUAACUUAUACUUUGAAGUAUCCUUUCAUGAAAUUCUAGUGCAACAACUUGGUUAUGAUCCGUAUGAGAUAGAUGAGAUAGAAAAUGAACCCCAAAAUGGUGAUGGUAACAAUAAUAUUAGGGAUGAAGGUCAAGGAGGGUGUGCUACUAAUAAUAGUGAUAAUGAUUCCAAUGCAAGUGAUGAGACUUUUUUUCAACUAUUGAUUCAGAUUAUGAAAUAGAUGAUGAUGCUGAUGAUGGUAUAUUUCAUGAUAAUGUUGACAAAAAUGCUGAAUGGUUUGGGGUAGACAAUCACAGGAAAGAAAAUGUGGUUCCUGAUCCUUUGAAUGAAACAGAGAAGGUUCCUGAUUCUGAUGAAACAGAGCAGGUUCCUGAUUCUAAAUCUGAUUUUGAAAGCAUCCAUGAGUCUGAUGAUCAAGUGUCUAAAUUGAAGUCUCGUACUUUUGAUCCUAAACAUAUUGACAAUCCAAAAUUAGAGCUAUACAUGUCCUUUACAAGUCUGAAACUUUUCAAGAUUGUUGUACAUAAUUAUAGUGUGAAACAAGGCAGGCCUUGUAAGUUUGUGAAACAAGAUACAGUGAGGGUGAGGGCUAGAUGCAGAAAUAGUGAAUGUAAUUGGGUUAUAUAUGCUAGAAAGUUAAGUGGGGAUGGAACUAUUCAAAUAAGAAUAUUUGAAGAUAAUCACACAUGUAGUUUUACAUAUAAUAACCCUCUUGUGCAUUCUGGAUGGGUAGCUAGGAAGUACUGUGAAGAGUUUAGGUGUAAUCCUAAAUUAGAUUUGGAGCAUUUUAGGAAGACAGUAAUGAAAGAAAAUAGGUGCUCCUUCACAAAAAAUCAAACAUAUAGGGCAAGGAGAAAAGCAAUGAAAAUUGUUCAGGACAGUGAAAAAGAUCAGUACAGCAAAUUAGGAGUUUAUAUGCAUGAAAUUCUAAGAUCCAACCCUGGUAGCACUGUUAUAAUGAAAACUGUUGAUGGCUUUAGAGACUCAAAAACAGGGAAAGGCAGAUUUGAGAGGCUGUACAUCUGUUUUGCUGGAGUGAAGCAUGGUUUCCUAGCUCGAUGUAGGCAAUUUAUUGGAGUAGAUGACAUUUUUUUGAAAGGAUCAGUAGGAGAAGUUUUGCUAGCAGCUGUUGGAGUUGAUGCCAAUAAUGACAUUUUUUCAAUUGCAUAUGUUGCAGCAGAGGGUGAAACUAAGGACUCAUGGUGUUGGUUCUUCAAACUAUUGAAAGAAGAUUUGGAGAUUGAAAAGGAUUAUGAGUGAACAAUAAUGAGUGACAAACAAAAAAGUCUAAUUGAAGCAUGUGAUAUGAUUUUCCCAAAUGCAACCCACAGAUUUUGUGUGAAACACUUGCACAAUAAUUUUUCAUCUGCUGGUUUCAAAGGAGAAGGCUUGAGGAGAGCAUUAUAGACUGUUGCCAAAGCAACAACACCAGCCCAAUUCAUUAGCAGAAUGGAAGAAAUGGCUGAAAUUGAUGUAGAGGCAGCCAAGUUUGUCCACCAAGUCAAUGGAGCAGAGCUUACUUUAGCACUCAUCCUAAAUGUGCUAUGUUAUUAAAUAAUAUCUGUGAGUGCUUCAACAGCAAAAUUCUUGAUGCUAGGGAGAAGCCAAUAAUUGAAAUGUUUGAAACAAUACGGCUGUACAUGAUGCAGAGAAUGCAAAAAAAAAUAGAGAUCUGGCCAAAGAGAAGUGGCAGACUUAUCCUUACUGCCCCAGAAUUCUUCACAUUAUGCAAAAAAAUAUAGAUAGAGCACCUGACUGUUUUCCAUUCAAGUCAAAUGACAAUCUUUAUGAAGUCAGCUGCCCAUAUGGUGACCAAUAUGUAGUGAACAUCAAGGAGCAAACAUGCUCUUGCAGAAAAUGGGAACUAACAGGUAUUCCCUGUCCCCAUGCCAUUGCUACAUUGUGGAUGGCUAAAAAGGAUCCUCUGUUAUAUGUUUCAAAAUGGUAUACAGUGGAGACAUAUAUGAAGUGCUAUGAAGGAUCAGUGUGUCCCAUGAAUAGAGAAAGUGAAUGGGGGCUUACUGAUGUUGGUGAAGGUCCUUUGCCACCCUUAUAUGGGAGAGCACCUGGAAGGCCUAAGAAGCUGAGAAGGAGAAAUGCAGAGGAGGUUCAACAAGCCAAGGAAAAAACUAAGAAGAAGGUGACAAGAGUGGGACAGAUUAACAAGUGUAGAUACUGUCAUCAAACGGGACAUAAUAUGAGGUCCUGCAAGCUUCUCAAAGAUGCUCAAGAUCUUGCAGUUGCAGAAACUGAUAUUAGUUCAAGCCAAGUUGCUGCUUCUACCAACAAUCCAGCAAGCCAAGAUGGAAAAAAAGCUAUAAGUUGUCUUGAUGACUUGUUACAUCUAUCUUUGCUAUUUGGUAUAUAAAUAACAUAUGUUCCUUUUAAACCGUAGGGAACAAGGAAAACCAAGAAGCCUGCUGCUAAGUCUUCAAAUAAAAGAGCAUAAAAACCUGCUACAGCUUUUGAUUUUUGUCUUUAUGCAAUUUGACUUUUGCUACCUCACUGUUUUGUGCAGAAGAGACAGCAAUGUACAAGAAGAGUUGCAGCUGCAGUUUGUAAUGAUGAUUCAAACACUAAACAUCAACAGGAUGCUGAGCCACUGGUUGAGAUUGACAUAACAUCCUCUGCCCCAGAUCAAGUUGGCCAGGAUAUGUACGAAGUGUUUAGGCUGUCAAGGUCUCAAGUCAAAUAUAACACCAAACAAGCCAGCACACAAACUAAAGAACAAGUAGAGAUGCCCUUCAGGAUUAGAGAUGGUCAUAUGCAUGUUGCUGCUACUGCCAAGGCAGAUUUAAGUGUUCCUAAUUCAUCUAGAUCGAAGGGAAAGGAGAAACUACUGUGAUAGGAGAAACAACAUGCUGAAUAGUUGCUGCUUUUGUUCAAGCCAAGUUGCUGCUUUUGUAAUUAACAUGACUUUUGCUGUUUCAACUUUUGCCUUGCCUAGUAAUUAUGGAAGUGCAGGCUGUAAUGUGAUAGCUUGCUUUAUUUCGUUUAUGGACCCAUGUUCAACAACAAUCAUGUAGUUUGCUUUAUUUCAUUUGGAAUGCACUUUAAUUGUAUUGAAGUUAUGAUAUAUAUAUGGCAGCUGUUUUCAUGUUCAUCUGUUUGUAUUAUUUGCAUUUGUUUUCUAGGUUGGUUUAUCAGUACAUGUGGGACAAUCUUGGUUUAUCAGCUUGGUUUUCAGCUUGGUUUAUUUGCAUUUGUUUUCCAGCUUGGUUUAUUUGUAUCUGUUUGUAUUAUCAGUACAUGUGAUUUAUCACUUCAUGGCCAUUUUAUAUAUAUGAUAGGAACAACACUUUGACAAGGACCAUUUUCUUACACUCAACGCAUAGCUUUACAAACAAAAUAAAUUGCAGAGUUCAUAAAUUGCAUUGUUGCCAAAUACAUUUCCCUUCCUAAAUCCCACCUUUUACAUAAAUUGCAGAGUUCAUUUGGACCCUUUGUACAAACAAAAUAAGUCCCUUUCUAUACCCUGCAAUUGGAUAUUAUUUCAUAGGGAAAAAUGCAACUCUCAUUCCAACAACAAACAAGGUCAACUUCAAAAUGUUCUUCUACAAUUUUAGCAAAAUCACUCCAAUGUUAGCAGCAACUUGCCUCCCUUUGCUUUUCCCUCGCCUUUACUGCUCCAACUCAAUACUAGCAAAACCACCAAAAGCACAAUUAUCGUAAUAAAAAAUUUGUCCCUCUUACGCAUUCUUUCAACUUGUUCUUCCAUUUUGUUAAUCCUUUUUAGCAAACCAGGAAUGAGAACUCUCCCUCUUGGACAAAUUGGCUCAUCAACCCAUUCAAAGUACCUGCAUCUCUCAGGUCUCUACCAUAACAAUAAUGACAUUUUUCAGAAAUUAGUUAGCUAAAUUAACACAUUGAAUGACCAAUAUUUUUACACAAAUAUUUCUUACUGGCCACAGAGAGCAACCAAGGAAUCUUCUUCCCGGAUUCUCGCCGUGCCAACAGGUGCUCAUUUUUGUUCUCAACCCACAGUUGCAGAAUGGAGUUGAUGAACCACUGGAGACUUCAGAACUUCUGCUCCUCAUUAGGCAAAAAUGAGACUUCAGAACCAUUGCCAGAUGCUCUGAGGAUGAAAUGUUUAAAGCUCCAGAGAUUGGCAAAAAAAUUUUGGGGUUGCAGAAAGGCAGAGGGAAGAAGGAGAAGAAAGUUUGCUUUUCGUCCGUUGCAACACUUUUUGUUCAUUUAAAAAAUGGCUCCAUUCGGUUUAACCCAUUUUUUGUUGGGUUUACAGUUGGGUCUAACGCCAAUUUCUUCAUUUCCCGUCAAUUGUCCUUAAUUGGCCAAAAUUGCAGAAGUUUGAGGAUGAAAUGUGUUUGGGGUGAAACUUUGAGGAUGAAAUUGAUUAACAGCCCAAACUUUGAGGAUGAAAAGUGCAUUUUUCCCUUUUGUGAUUUAAUAAUGUAAACUUUUGUAGACUUUUAUCUCAAGGCUAUAGUGUUAAAUGUGGUGCAUUACUUUGGAAAUCUUCGGAGGCUUAUUUUAUUUUAUUUUUUAAAUACCCAUAGAAUUGUGCAACCUUUCCUGAUUUAUAACCUAUCUUAUUUUGCUUGCAGAGGUAAUGUUCUAGUGCCAAUGAAUCUUCUCAGCAAGGUUGGUGAAAUAUACCCCUUGAACCCCUUGGAAGAUUAGAACACUAGUACCCCUUAUGUAGGUGUAUUUGAUGCGAGAAUCACUGAGCAAGAUUUGAGGAAUCACCUUAAACGAAUUAGUUUUUUUGCUAUGUUCUUACUAUUUCGCAAAGGAGUUUGGAUAUAUGGUUUUGUCACUGUUGUAUCAAUGGGAAUGCAAGGAUUAAAUAAAUGUUUUAGGUUAGUUGGUGUUUUUCACUGAAGAUUACAUAGUAAAAGUUAAUUUGGUCUGGGCACUAUUUCUUCAACUUUUUUUUUGGUCAUCUUCCUACAUUUUCUAUAUCUAACUUGUUAUACGGUACCUUCCUCGAGGUACAUGAUAACCAUUUGUGUAAGGAACAACAGAGGAGCUGACCUUACUAUCUAUUUCAAAGAGCAGCCGAACCAAGAUAUUUUGCUAACUUGGUCUGAUGCCAUUAUUUGUAGAUUGAAAAAGAAUUUGAAAAGUGAUUAUCCAUUGAGAGACUGCUUUAUAUAUGUUAGUACAAUGAAAAGAAUUUGCAGGAAAGCCGUAGGGGCUAGUGGCUAGGGGAAGAGCAUUACUUGUGUUUAACCAUAGGUAUUUUUAUUCUCUUAGACAAUGGGAGUGAGAGAUCAAAAUGUUUAGCUAAAUUGUGCAAAUUUGUAUUUACUUGUUGAAGUUGGUAAGAUCAUAAUUAAUGUUUACAUAGUAAGCAUUGAUUUGAUGAUGUGGGCCAAUAUUUUUACUUUAUUUUCUAGGCGUAAUUUUGGUAAUGAAAAUAUUCAAGUGAUGUUGUGAUAUGUAGACAUUUCAUUCUAAUAAACAAAAAGGCAAAAAAAAAAAAAAGUGAUGGUAUGAUAGUUAAGAUGCUUUAGUAGUCAUGUAAAUCUACUCUAAAGUUAAAAUGAAAACAGACCAUAUACUACGAUUAUAAAGAUUUUUUUAAUAAUUGAAAAAGUUGUGCAAAUUAAGGCAAAUUAUCUCCUUUUUCCCCACUAAAAUAUUGUUAUUAUUUGAAGGAACCAAUCUUUUUAAUUCUAAAUUUAAGUAAUUCUAAUCCUCCAUGAAAUCUUCUCCCAGUCAAACAAAGAAUUUGGAGUUUCAAAUAAACUCUUACUCAAUUCUAUCUAGAGCAAAUUAUCCUACUAGCCAUUAAAUUCUUAGAAUGUUUUAGCCAAUCAACUAUUAAUAAUAUAUUUUUAUUUGCUAAAUUAUGAAAAGUAUAAAUUUUGAAUCAUUUCAUCUGACUAUUAAUUGUAUGUCUUGUGAAUCAUGCGAAUUUUUAAAUUUGAUAGAAUUAAUGAUGAUAUUAGGUUGAAUUAUUUAAAAUUUAUACUUUUGAUAAUUCAAUAAUUAAAAACGUACUAAUACUUAUUAAAUGAUCAAAUUUUGACUAUUAAAAAAGUUGAGUGCCUAUCCCAAUAAUUCUAUUAGGCAAACCAAAGAAUUGCAAUGUCUUGGGACUGGAAUUCAUAGAAUUUCAAUUCUACAAGAAUACAAUUCCAACUCCAUAGCUUCUAAGGCAAAUGUAAUUAAAGCCGGUUCAUUUAUUCAGCAGAGUUACACACUGAAAGUGUGCGCUCGGCAACGAUGAUUAGCAAAAUAAGGUUGAUCGGACGGCCACUUUCGGCAGCGGUUCUGGCGCAGCCACAGCUGCCGACGUAUUCCAAUUGUUACUCCACAUUAGUGUCCCCGUCAGCGACAACCGCAUCAUCAUCUGCUGCUGCUAUUGAAGCUGAGAGAAGCAUAAGGGAUGGACCUAGAAACGAUUGGUCUCGGGAUGAAAUUAAAUCCAUCUAC